rnacentral:SRP_RNA from 1 species
CCAGGAGUCGCUGCAGCCCAUCUGGCCAGAACAGUGCAACAUCACAGUCGAUCAGUAAGGUGGGGACCGAGCCAAGCAGCGGCAACAGAGCAGCAUUUGCACG